GACGAACGCUGGCGGCGUGCUUAACACAUGCAAGUCGAACGAAGUGGCGAACGGGUGAGUAACGCGUCAUCAACCUGCCCUUCAGAGGGGGACACAGGUUGGAAACGACUGCUAAUACCGCAUACUGACGGCGGGGAUUGCGUCUGAUUCGGUAGUUGGAGGGUUAACGGCCCACCAAGGCGAUGAUCAGUAGCCGGUCUGAGAGGUGGAACGGACACAUUGGGACUGAGACACGGCCCAGACUCCUACUGGAGGCAGCAGUGGGGAAUCUUCCGCAAUGGACGAAAGUCUGACGGAGCAACGCCGCGUGAGUGAUGACGGCCUUCGGGUUGUAAAGCUCUGUUAAUCGGGACGCGGUACCGGAAUAGAAAGCCACGGCUAACUACGUGCCAGCAGCCGCGGUAAUAC
rnacentral:rRNA from 1 species